rnacentral:lncRNA from 1 species
GAAUGUGGAAGAGGAAAUGAUGGUGACAAUAUCAAUGGUAAACCAUACAAGAAAAUAAAAACAAAAACUCGCAGUGCUAAACGAACGCUAUCAUAACAUCAUCAGAUGAUGAAACACAUAUCAAAGGGAAUUCAAAAAAUAAUAGUACCAGCAAUGAACUUUAGAUAUUAUCCUCUGACGACGAGUCAUUUCUCAUAUACAAAUUAAAGACUCAAAAAUC